UUAUCUUGUGUUUCUUGGAAAACGUCAAAUGACCUGCGGAUGGAUAUGUGGUUUCAAAAAUCAAGCCUGUUCUCUUCAUCAGUCCGUUGGCGCGGAGUCUGUCUGUUGGCUGAUCUGCGAAAGAAUCUACUUCAAGAGCAUCAGCGUGUGAAGAUCACUUUAUAACGAUUUGAAAAAGAUGACUGUGCGAUUCCUCAUGUCCCAUGAAUUGGAAGUCCAGUUCAGCCUUUUUGGCCGACAUUGGAAACGAGCUCUUGGACCUGCGAAUCUUGGAUGUUUUGUAUGGGGACUUAAAAGAAAUGAUGCAUCUACAGAAUCACACAAGUAUACGGCAAAGACACUCUCGAAGCGGUUUACUGGAGCUUGUGACAGAGGUGGAAAUAGACUAGAGCAGGGGUGCUCAAGUCCAGACAUCAAGAGCUACCGUCCUGCAACUUUUAGUUGCAGCCUUACUCCAGUAGACCAGGCUCAGCUAUGAACAGGUCUGAUAACGAGUCAUUCAUUUGAUUCAGGUGUGUUGGAGCAGGGAUGCAUCUGAUAGUUGCAGGAUGGUAGCUCUCGAGGACUGGACAUGAGCACCCCUGGACUAGAGAGACUGCCAGUUCAAACUCAGGUGGGGAGGUCUUUCAAGAUUUCAAAUUUAAGCAUGCAUGUGGCAUAUAGGUUAUUCUUAAAAAUGUUUGACUAAAAGGUAUCGUGAAAGAUCUAUGUAGGUGUGUAU